AUACCUUUCUCGGCCUUUUGGCUAAGAUCAAGUGUAGUAUCUGUUCUUAUCAGUUUAAUAUCUGAUAUGUGAGUCAUCGACUCACACGAUAUUAACUCAAUUUUUUAAGGGGGAAAGUCCAUUAAGGUAGCUUGUUAUCUGGGCUCUCAAGCGUCGCUCAUGUGUUGCACUAUUGCACGGGCCUGGCGCACCCCAC
rnacentral:snRNA from 1 species